rnacentral:sRNA from 1 species
GCUGCCACAGUGCUGGCAGUCGGGCAUACCACCCCGGACUUGUCAACGGCGACAUCAGACGCCGCGAGCGUCUUUUUU